rnacentral:lncRNA from 1 species
CGCUCAGCCCCUGCAAACAAGGGCCUGAGCUAAACUGUGUUUGCCCCGCCCUGAUCCAGGGCCUGGGCUCUGAACUAGUUGCUCGCUCAGCCCCUGCAAACAAGGGCCUGAGCUUAACUGCGUUUGCCCCGCCCUGAUCCAGGGCCUGGGCUCUGAACUAUUUGCUCGCUCAGCCCCUGCAAACAAGGGCCUGAGCUUAACUGCGUUUGCCCCACCCUGAUCCAGGGCCUGGGCUCUGAACUAUUUGCUCGCUCAGUCCCCUGCAACCAAGGGCCUGAGCCCUGAGCUAACUGCCGGCUUUGCUCCGCCCUGCACCAGAGAGCCGGAGCUUCGGGACUAACUGACUGCUUGUUCCCCCAGUAGUGAGUCGGUGUGGCUCCCCUCCUGCCCGGAAGGGUCGAGCCCCGGCUAGGACCGAUUACACUCCCUCUCAUCCUAUGACUGUUGUCCACCUCCAGGCACUCAACACUGUUCUCCAUCAUGACAUCGAUGUGACAACCCUUUCAGCAUACGAGCUUCAUCUUCACCUGUCUUGUAGGCUCCCUCGCCACUGAUGAUACCAUGCAUGAAAUCCCAGAGUAUGGAGCUGAAGUACAGCUUUCCGGACAGUGAGCAGAUGUACUGUUAGAGACUUCAGUAUCUGCCAUGGCCCUCUCCUGGGAGAUUACUAUUUGCACUUUAUUGGUCCAUUACCUCUCCUCUUUCCCUUGUUUUCCCCCAUCUGCAUCAUCUACAAACCUCUUCUACCACCAUGAUCCAUAUUUGCCAGAAGAUCUUGUGAAGGCCAAGACUAUAACGGGGUUCAAAAAAGAAGUAGAUACAUUCAUGGAAGAUAAGUCCAUCAAUGGCUAUUAGCCAGGAUGGGCAGGGAUUCAAAACCAUGUUCUGAAGUGUUUACCAGAAGCUGGGAAUGGGUGACAGUGGAUGGAUCACUUGAUGAUUACCUGUUCUGUUCAUUCCCUCUGAAGUACUUGGUAUUGGCCACUUUCAGAAGAUAGGAUACUGGGCUAGACAGACCAUUGGUCUGACCAACUAUGGCCAUUCUUAUGUUCUUUUAAGGUG